GACCGUUUGUGACCCCUUGACACGUGGGAGUCAGCAGAUACCAUGCUGAGACAUCCAGGUAUUUUCCAAGAGAGUCUGUAACAAAUGAAGUCCGCCCUCCCUAGAGCCAACUUGUCUGUAAUCGCUCCCUAACAGCAGUUGCCCAAGGAAUCAGUGCAGUCUACUUUCCCAAGAGGACAGGAAAGAAUGAAGAGAGAAGAGAGAGAAGGGAAGUCGUAUGGUCCCAGAACUGGAACUGGAAGAUAAGGCUAUGUUUCCUAGUUCUUCCCCACCCCAUCCUAGUCUUUCUGAAAAGGAAGCAAAUAGACUUACACAAUCCAGCA